UGGAUCCAGACUUUGAUCAUGGCUCAGGAUGAACGCUGGCGGCGUGCCUAAUACAUGCAAGUCGAACGAAACUUCUUUAUCACCGAGUGCUUGCACUCACCGAUGAAGAGUUGAGUGGCGAACGGGUGAGUAACACGUGGGCAACCUGCCCGAAAGAGGGGGAUAACACUUGGAAACAGGUGCUAAUACCGCAUAACCAUGAACACCGCAUGGUAUUUAUGUGAAAGGUGGUUUCGGCUACCGCUUUCGGAUGGGCCCGCGGCGCAUUAGCUAGUUGGUGGGGUAAAGGCUUACCAAGGCGAUGAUGCGUAGCCGAACGGAGAGGUUGAUCGGCCACAUUGGGACUGAGACACGGCCCAAACUCCUACGGGAGGCAGCAGUAGGGAAUCUUCCACAAUGGGCGAAAGCCUGAUGGAGCAACGCCGCGUGGGUGAAGAAGGUCUUCGGAUCGUAAAGCCCUGUUGUCAGAGAAGAAAGUGCAUGAGAGUAACUGUUCAUGUUUCGACGGUAUCUGACCGGAAAGCCACGGCUAACUACGUGCCAGCAGCCGCGGUAAUACGUAGGUGGCAAGCGUUAUCCGGAUUUAUUGGGCGUAAAGGGAACGCAGGCGGUCUUUUAAGUCUGAUGUGAAAGCCUUCGGCUUAACCGGAGUAGUGCAUUGGAAACUGGGAGACUUGAGUGCAGAAGAGGAGAGUGGAACUCCAUGUGUAGCGGUGAAAUGCGUAGAUAUAUGGAAGAACACCAGCGGCGAAAGCGGCUCUCUGGUCUGUAACUGACGCUGAGGUUCGAAAGCGUGGGUAGCAGACAGGAUUAGAUACCCUGGUAGUCCACGCCGUAAACGAUGAAUGCUAAGUGUUGGAGGGUUUCCGCCCUUCAGUGCUGCAGUUAACACAAUAAGCAUUCCGCCUGGGGAGUACGACCGCAAGGUUGCAACUCAAAGG
rnacentral:rRNA from 1 species